rnacentral:rRNA from 1 species
AUUGAACGCUGGCGGCAUGCCUUACACAUGCAAGUCGAACGGUAACAGGUCUUCGGAUGCUGACGAGUGGCGAACGGGUGAGUAAUACAUCGGAACGUGCCCGAUCGUGGGGGAUAACGAGGCGAAAGCUUUGCUAAUACCGCAUACGAUCUACGGAUGAAAGCGGGGGAUCUUCGGACCUCGCUCGGACGGAGCGGCCGAUGGCAGAUUAUGUAGUUGGUGGGAUAAAAGCUUACCAAGCCGACGAUCUGUAGCUGGUCUGAGAGGAUGAUCAGCCACACUGGGACUGAGACACGGCCCAGACUCCUACGGGAGGCAGCAGUGGGGAAUUUUGGACAAUGGGCGAAAGCCUGAUCCAGCCAUGCCGCGUGCAGGAUGAAGGCCUUUGGGUUGUAAACUGCUUUUGUACGGAACGAAAAGCCUCUUUCUAAUAAAGAGGGGUCAUGACGGUACCGUAAGAAUAAGCACCGGCUAACUACGUG